rnacentral:lncRNA from 1 species
UAAAAGAAAGGAAGAAUGUUGCAUUCAAAUAUUAUGCCAUUCUGUCAUCUGUUCCAUCAUUUCCAUUGCUGUUGUUUGAGUUUGUUGUCUAUGGCUGCUUAAAAGAAAAAGGAAAAAGAAAAAAGAGAGAAAGAAAAAAAAAGCAAAAAAAAAAAGAGUUUACUGUAUGUUUCUGCCUGUAGCCUUAAACAGACAUCUGGUUUACAUUUUCUGUGUGUUUCAGAAUGUUACUGGCUCUUGAAAACAUGGCAGAAGAAAUAAACCUGGAAAAAAAAAUUAGAAAGGCUGUUUCAGAAUGAGACUAAGGAGGAAUAAUGAGGCUGCAACAAGAUCAGAAACUAGAAUGACCUACUUCUUUCAAGGAGAUAAGAAAGUCUAACUUUCCCCUCCCCAAAGGAACCUAUGCAUGUAAGCAACAUGUUCUUCAGGGGCAGGGCCCACACAUGUGCCAUUCUCCUGCAUCAGAAUGAAUCCAUCAGGACAAACACCUUCUGUUUUGUCAGCCACUCCUAUUCUGGUAUGCUAUUUUCUCACUGCCUUCUAUAGUUAGCCCUAAGAAGAAGAGAGGACGAUCUGGAGAAACCUGAGGCAUAUAUAAGUUUAAGGAAAAACAAAACCAGAAAACGGUGUUUACUCUUUAAAAAAAAUCUUCUUACCUUACUUAACCUCUUUACCUUUCUAAUCAUCCC